GAUGAACGCUGGCGGCGUGCCUAAUACAUGCAAGUCGAGCGAACAGACCACGAUCGUGCUCUUCUGACGUUAGCAACGGACGGGUAAGUAACACGUAGCUAACCUACCUAUAAGGCUUGGAUAACUGCAGGUAACCGUAGCUAAUACCGGGUAAUAUAUCUAACCGCAUGGGUCAGGAAUGAAAGAGGGGUUGGCGGUCGAUUAUAGAUGGAUCCGCGCCGCAUUAGCUAGUUGGUAAGGUAACGGCUUACCAAGGCAACGAUGCGUAGCCGAGCUGAGAGAGUGAUAGGCCACCCUGGAACGGGAACACGGUCAAGGCUCCUACGGGAGGGACCAGUAGGCAAUCGUACGCAAUGGGGGGAAGCAUGGCGGAGCAACGCGGCGUGAGUGACGAAGGCCUUCGGUUCGUAAAGCUCUGUUAUUAGGGAAGAACAGAUGUGUAAGAAAAUAUGCACGUCUUGAAGGUAAGUAAGCAGAGAGGCACGGCUAAAUUAGGU
rnacentral:rRNA from 1 species